UGGCGGACGGGUGAGUAACGCGUGGGUAACCUGCCUUGUACAGGGGGAUAACAGUUGGAAACGACUGCUAAUACCGCAUAAGCGCACAGGAUUGCAUGAUCCGGUGUGAAAAACUCCGGUGGUAUGAGAUGGACCCGCGUCUGAUUAGCCAGUUGGCAGGGUAACGGCCUACCAAAGCGACGAUCAGUAGCCGACCUGAGAGGGUGACCGGCCACAUUGGGACUGAGACACGGCCCAGACUCCUACGGGAGGCAGCAUG
rnacentral:rRNA from 1 species